UUGGAAAUAAAUUGUUACGAGAAUAAAACUUUAAUAACACGAAAGUCUGUUGGUUAGUAGCUAGUAGCGAGUCCUGAACUAAGUAGGUCUAUAAGCCUACUAUUCAUAACGUUUAGUAGGUCUAUUAUUUUUGUAUACGUUCUUUUUUCUUGCUUGUGAAUAAGUUUUGGCAUAAUUUAUGACGUCGUCUCCUUACGAUGGUGUGUACCCUUUAAAAAAUAUUUACCCGCCCUCAUAUUGACUUCACCUCUGUGAAGCCUUCAUUCCCUCCAGUGCUUAGUAGUGAGUGACAUUUUUUAAACUACAGUUGUAGAGAUCGAUGCACAUUCCUCGUUCCAUAUGCUAAGACAAAUUCGCACAAAUGCUCCUUCUUCCCUAGUGCUAUUGCAGCAUGAAAUGGGUUGCCUGAGCUAGCCAGGAAAACCAGUGACUUGGCAGAUAUUAAGUCAUUAGUUAACAUCCAUGACUAGAUGCGUGACUCGUAGGACGUAAUCAUCUUUCUGAAGUAACGUUUGUAUUAUAUAAGAUAAGAUGUAUUAUUGAUAUUGAGGUUUCGAAAAAUAAACAUGAUCUUGGUAAAUGACUGCCACGAACAAGGUCCCUUAUAAAUUUAUGUUUACCCUUUAUGUUGAAUAGACUUAGAAAUUAGAACACACUUAAGGGGAGGAUUACCUUUGAAAAUAGUCAUUUUGGACCCAAAAAUGGAUUUUUAGAUUUAAACGUAUUUAGAUAGCUUAUCCAUUUAUUUACUAGAAUAGAAUGUUCAAUUUUCUGAAAUAUUGCUUUAAAUUAUACUUUUUUUCAUUUUUAGGGUGCUUAUUAAUCAAGAUUUGAUUGAAAAACGUAAAAAUCCCCCAUAGUUACGCCUAUAAUAACUCUUUUGCAUAGCAAAUACUCUGGUCAUAUUUGGUAUCAAAUUGUUCGGCUUCAAAAGCACUUUUAAAAUUUGGCAACACUUCCUAAUCUAUUAUAAGAAGUUUUUAGCUAAAUUUAGAAACUUGCGUACUCUAUUUGGUAAGUUUUUCGUAUAAUUAUAGCCCACUCAUAAAUACUGAACGCUGAUUGGUUGCUUACCGGAAUACCCCUAGUGACUGUGUAUACGUCAGCUUAUCGAAAAUAGAAAAACAAACAUGCUGCCGUUUUCUCGUUGCAAACAAAACAGUUUCAGUAUCAUAAAAUAAACGUUUUUGUAUGUUUUAUUCUUGCUAUUCGGAAAUCUUCAUCAUGUUUGAAGUACUACUGGUAGCAGAAUGAAAUCCCUGCCUCCAACAUAAUACAAAGAUUGGUUUGAAUCUCACCAAGUUAAUUGUGAUAUCAACUAGAUCUAUUCUAUAAAGGAUUCAAGCAAUGGUGGCGACGCAUUCCGCUGAAAUAUUCUGGAAGAUAUUCAUCAACGAGUUUAACUGCGAUACACCACAGUGUUAUCCAAAUCUUUUAACAGAGUGUGUGGGAUUUAACCUUUUGAAGAUAUAAAAGUAACUUAAGAACAGUGCUACUCAAUUUACCAAAGGCUAUCAGAACAAGCAAAUUAUACAACGAUGUAAAUUUGGGGAAACUCAAAAUACGAUUACGUCGAUUCGCUCAUGAACUAGAAACUUUUGGACCAAAAUCUAGAUUUACUAAUCCAGAAAAAGAAAACUGUUCUAUUUUAGCGGCUGUGGGACAACUUAAUGUAAAUUUUUCUUUUGUCAGUGUAAUUAAAACUUUUUUUCAAUUAUUAGGCCAGCAAGAAAAACCAUCCACUUAGAUUAUCAAGCUUUCAGAAAAUCUUAAGAAAUGCAAUUUUAAAAAGUUAUAAAAAGAUUACUGUUGUUGAGAAAAGAUGCUAAAGCACACAUAGAAUUUCAGUUGAUAGAAGCAAAAGGAGUUUGUUAAUAUUCUGGAAAGUUUUAAAUCCAUUGUUUACAUUUUGAAUUUUUAGCUAUUUUUCUCAUAUUGCUAUCGACUUAUAUGAUCAUCUUAAAAGUACUAUAACUUAAAAACUUAUUGAUGAAAUGAUGUCAAAUUUUUUACAUUAUAAGACUAUAUUUAGUUAUCAAAGUGUGCAGUGUUAUUUAUUCAAAUAUAGUGAUUUUACAUAGUUUGACAAAUAAAUUUUAGUUUUAAAUCAA